rnacentral:tRNA from 1 species
UGCUCGGAUGGUGAAAUGGUAGACACUAGGGACUUAAAAUCCCUUGGCAGCAAUGCCGUGCCGGUUCGAGUCCGGCUUCGAGCAUCCA